rnacentral:rRNA from 1 species
GACGAACGCUGGCGGCGCGCCUAACACAUGCAAGUCGAACGAGAGAGAGGGAGCUUGCUUCCUCAAUCGAGUGGCGAACGGGUGAGUAACGCGUGAGGAACCUGCCUCAAAGAGGGGGACAACAGUUGGAAACGACUGCUAAUACCGCAUAAGCCCACAGGUCGGCAUCGACCAGAGGGAAAAGGAGCAAUCCGCUUUGAGAUGGCCUCGCGUCCGAUUAGCUAGUUGGUGAGGUAAUGGCCCACCAAGGCGACGAUCGGUAGCCGGACUGAGAGGUUGAACGGCCACAUUGGGACUGAGACACGGCCCAGACUCCUACGGGAGGCAGCAGUGGGGAAUAUUGCACAAUGGGGGAAACCCUGAUGCAGCGACGCCGCGUGGAGGAAGAAGGUCUUCGGAUUGUAAACUCCUGUUGUUGAGGAAGAUAAUGACGGUACUCAACAAGGAAGUGACGGCUAACUACGUGCCAGCAGCCGCGGUAAAACGUAGGUCACAAGCGUUGUCCGGAAUUACUGGGUGUAAAGGGAGCGCAGGCGGGAAGACAAGUUGGAAGUGAAAUCUAUGGGCUCAACCCAUAAACUGCUUUCAAAACUGUUUUUCUUGAGUAGUGCAGAGGUAGGCGGAAUUCCCGGUGUAGCGGUGGAACGCGUAGAUAUCGGGAGGAACACCAGUGGCGAAGGCGGCCUACUGGGCACCAACUGACGCUGAGGCUCGAAAGUGUGGGUAGCAAACAAGAUUAAAAUCCCUGGUUAGUCCACACCCUAAACAAAGAAUAAAGGGAGUGUUGGAGAGAUUGACCCCUUUCAGUGCCGCAGUUAACACAAUAAGUAAUCCACCCUGGGGGGUGGGCCCGCAAGGUUGAAACUCAAAGGAAUUGACGGGGGCCCGCACAAGCAGUGGAGUAUGUGGUUUAAUUUGACGCAACGCGAAGAACCUACCAAGUUCUUGACAUCCUGCGACGGACAUAGAAAUAUGUCUUUCCCUCGGGACGCAGAGACAGGUGGUGCAUGGUUGUCGUCAGCUCGUGUCGUGAGAUGUUGGGGUAAGUCCCGCAACGAGCGCAACCCUUACUGUCAGUUACUACGCAAGAGGACUCUGGCAGGACUGCCGUUGACAAAACGGAGGAAGGUGGGGAGGACGUCAAAUCAUCAUGCCCUCUAUGACUUGGGCUACACACGUACUACAAUGGCGUUAAACAAAGAGAAGCAAGACCGCGAGGUGGAGCAAAACUCAGAAACAACGUCCCAGUUCGGAGUGCAGGCUGCAACUCGCCUGCACGAAGUCGGAAUUGCUAGUAAUCGUGGAUCAGCAUGCCACGGUGAAUAAGGGGCCGGGCCUUGCACACACCGCCUGUCA